GGUUAUUGUCGGUUUUGAUUAUAAGGUGUUGAGCCAGCCCUAGCGAGGAGUUCAAUCUUCAUUUUUUAUUAUCGAUGCAUAAUGGUAUAGCCCUAGAUAAGACUGCAAGCGAUAAGUCAGCGGAAGAUGAGAAGGUCUAAAGUCAUUGUUCUAAUCUAUAAGAAAGUAAGGUAUGUGAGGUAUGUUUAGUGUGGGGUUAAAGGCUUAGUAAGGCAGCUGUAUUAUAAAAUAUGUUUGUUUUUAAGAUAAAGAUAAAUUAAGAUGAAUUUCAUUAAUUCUUCUCUGUAUUUUUAUUUUGAUGAAAAUUUUUUUAAGUCAAAGUAAAUUUUUAGUUUAAACUUUAGAAAAAAUAAAUCUUUGGUAAGUAUUUAGUGUUAUAUAGUUUAGUAUUGAAUUAAGCGUUGUUAAUAGUAGAUCAUAAUUUUAAAUUUUGAAGUGAAAGGCUUUUAUAUUGCUAGAUGUGCAUUUUAAAUCUAAUAUAACGGCAAUUGGCCAUUUUAAAGUUGAGAUUAUAUUCUAAAUAUUACUUAAUAUUUACCAAAUUUUUUAUUGUUUUGAUUAAUUGGCUUAAAGGAAUACCGAAGUGAUUAUAAUAAUGGAACACA
rnacentral:misc_RNA from 1 species